rnacentral:rRNA from 1 species
GGGGAAUCUUGCGCAAUGCACGAAAGUGUGACGCAGCAACGCCGCGUGCGGGAAGAAGGUCUUCGGAUCGUAAACCGCUUUCAGUUGGGACGAGGGUUGCGCGGUGAAUAGCCGUUGUGACUGACGGUACCUUCAGAAGAAGCCACGGCUAACUACGUGCCAGCAGCCGCGGUAAUACGUAGGUGGCAAGCGGUGUCCGGAUUUACUGGGCGUAAAGAGCGCGCAGGCGGUCGAUUUAGUCGCGUGUGAAAGCCCCCGGCUCAACUGGGGAGGGUCACGCGAUACUGAUCGACUCGAAGGCAGGAGAGGGUAGUGGAAUUCCCGGUGUAGUGGUGAAAUGCGUAGAUAUCGGGAGGAACACCAGUGGCGAAGGCGACUACCUGGCCUGUUCUUGACGCUGAGGCGCGAAAGCUAGGGGAGCAAAC